rnacentral:misc_RNA from 1 species
AGAUACCGUUACUUAGAAGCAUGUAAGCGUUCCGUUAUUCGCCGCCUCGGAAUCGAGAGAGCUAAGAGCCCAUCAAAAUCCAUCACCACUCUUCUUCUAUGUUUGAUGAUUUUUUUUCUUAUAUAUUUGAAGACGCCUUCUCUUUCACGCCUCUUAUCCUUCUAUCUCAUCCUAUAAAUGUUAUCCAUCACCAUAAAGAUUCCUCGACAAU